UGAGGAAUAUUGGUCAAUGGGCGGCAGCCUGAACCAGCCAUCCCGCGUGAAGGAAGAAUGCGCUAUGCGUUGUAAAACUUCUUUUCCAGGAGAAUAAAAUGCCAUACGUGUAUGGUACUGAAGGUAUCCUGGGAAUAAGCAUCGGCUAACUCCGUGCCAGCAGCCGCGGUAAUACGGAGGAUGCGAGCGUUAUCCGGAUUUAUUGGGUUUAAAGGGUGCGUAGGCGGGAUUAUAAGUCAGUGGUGAAAACCUGCAGCUUAACUGUAGACUUGCCUUUGAUACUGUAGUUCUUGAGUGUGGUCAAGGCAGGCGGAAUGUGUAAUGUAGCGGUGAAAUGCUUAGAUAUUACACAGAACACCGAUUGCGAAGGCAGCUUGCUGGGCCAAUACUGACGCUGAGGCA
rnacentral:rRNA from 1 species